GGAUGAACGCUGGCGGCGUGCCUAACACAUGCAAGUCGAACGAAGCGAUUAGGAUGAAGUUUUCGGAUGGAUUCCUGAUUGACUGAGUGGCGGACGGGUGAGUAACGCGUGGAUAACCUGCCUCACACUGGGGGAUAACAGUUAGAAAUGGCUGCUAAUACCGCAUAAGCGCACAGUACCGCAUGGUACGGUGUGAAAAACCCAGGUGGUGUGAGAUGGAUCCGCGUCUGAUUAGCCAGUUGGCGGGGUAACGGCCCACCAAAGCGACGAUCAGUAGCCGACCUGAGAGGGUGACCGGCCACAUUGGGACUGAGACACGGCCCAAACUCCUACGGGAGGCAGCAGUGGGGAAUAUUGCACAAUGGGCGCAAGCCUGAUGCAGCGACGCCGCGUGAGUGAAGAAGUAUCUCGGUAUGUAAAGCUCUAUCAGCAGGGAAGAAAAUGACGGUACCUGACUAAGAAGCCCCGGCUAACUACGUGCCAGCAGCCGCGGUAAUACGUAGGGGGCAAGCGUUAUCCGGAUUUACUGGGUGUAAAGGGAGCGUAGACGGCGACGCAAGUCUGGAGUGAAAGCCCGGGGCCCAACCCCGGGACUGCUUUGGAAACUGUGCUGCUGGAGUGCAGGAGAGGUAAGUGGAAUUCCUAGUGUAGCGGUGAAAUGCGUAGAUAUUAGGAGGAACACCAGUGGCGAAGGCGGCUUACUGGACUGUAACUGACGUUGAGGCUCGAAAGCGUGG
rnacentral:rRNA from 1 species